rnacentral:rRNA from 1 species
UACGUAGGGGGCAAGCGUUGUCCGGAUUUAUUGGGCGUAAAGAGCGUGUAGGCGGCCGUACAGGUCAGCUGUGAAAACUCGAGGCUCAACCUCGAGACGUCGGUUGAAACCGUACGGCUAGAGUCCGGAAGAGGAGAGUGGAAUUCCCGGUGUAGCGGUGAAAUGCGUAGAUAUCGUAAGGAAGACCAGUGGCGAAGGCGGGUCUCUGGACAGUUCCUGACGCUGAUGCACGAAGGCCAGGGGGAGCAAACGGGG